UUGUCACGGCUGCCGCCCUCUGCUCUGCAGGAAGGUUCUCAGCGGGGACGAGGCCGUGCUGAACGCGGACGUGGCUCUGAGCUGCGGCCCCAAGAGGAGCCAGAGGCAACUUCUCCUCCUGAGAGAGGAGCUGGUGGUCGCCAAGCUGCAACUCAGCCCAGGAUGGUGCCCGGAUAUGCUGCUUGUGCCAAGAGAUGUCUCACAGCUCAAGGUUGCUGAGGACACAGCUGAUGGAUGAUAUUAGCAAACACCAGGCCUGAAGUCGUGCUCUGUGCUGCCUCCUGCCCUGCAGUUUCUGAGUUUGGAAAACACACUUUAGGUACAGGCAGGUUGUGGAUAGUCAACUGUGAUUCCUGUGGGAGUUUGGUGCCUGUAGCUUCUUUUUUGAGAAAAUAUUCUCCAAUAAAAAAAUUGUAUCUUUUA